AUUGAACGCUGGCGGCAGGCCUAACACAUGCAAGUCGAACGAGUGGCGGACGGGUGAGUAAUGUCUGGGAAACUGCCUGAUGGAGGGGGAUAACUACUGGAAACGGUAGCUAAUACCGCAUACCAUCAGAUGUGCCCAGAUGGGAUUAGCUUGUUGGUGGGGUAACGGCUCACCAAGGCGACGAUCCCUAGCUGGUCUUAGAGGAUGACUAGCGACACUGGUACUGAGACACGUUCCAGGCUCCUACGGGAGGCAGCAGUGUGGAAUAUUGCACAAUGGGCGCAAGCCUGAUGCAGCCAUGCCGCUUGUAUGAAGAAGGCCUUCGAGUUUGAAAGUACUUUCAGCGGGGAGGCGUUACCCGCAGAAGAAGCACCGGCUAACUCCGGGCCAGCAGCCGCGGUAAUAC
rnacentral:rRNA from 1 species